rnacentral:rRNA from 1 species
UACGUAGGGUGCGAGCGUUUGUCCGGAAUUAUUGGGCGUAAAGAGCUCGUAGGCGGUCUGUCGCGUCGGAUGUGAAAACCCAGGGCUCAACCCUGGGCCUGCAUUCGAUACGGGCAGACUAGAGUUCGGUAGGGGAGACUGGAAUUCCUGGUGUAGCGGUGAAAUGCGUAGAGAUGUGGAGGAACACCGAUGGCGAAGGCAGCCUUCUGGGCCAACACUGACGCUCAUGCACGAAAGCGUGGGGAGCAAACAGG